AGGGUUUGAUUCUGGCUCAGGAUGAACGCUGGCGGCGUGCCUAACACAUGCAAGUCGAGCGAAGCGGUUUUAAGGAAGUUUUCGGAUGGAAUUAAGACUGACUGAGCGGCGGACGGGUGAGUAACGCGUGGGUAACCUGCCUCAUACAGGGGGAUAACAGUUAGAAAUGGCUGCUAAUACCGCAUAAGCACACAGCUUCGCAUGGAGCAGUGUGAAAAACUCCGGUGGUAUGAGAUGGACCCGCGUCUGAUUAGCUAGUUGGUAAGGUAACGGCUUACCAAGGCGACGAUCAGUAGCCGACCUGAGAGGGUGACCGGCCACAUUGGGACUGAGACACGGCCCAA
rnacentral:rRNA from 1 species